AUCGACUUGGGGUAGCCUGGUUCCACUGUCAGCUUCUGGUUGUCAAACUUCCAGUAGUCCUUUCCCUUGUAGAAGUAGGUAUAAACUAGGAGGAGCACCAAAGAGAAAAAAUGUCAGGUGCAAGCUUUCAUCUGUCACUACCACUCGAGUUGAAGGUUACAGAAUGUCAAGACAGUAAAGGUUCUUUGAUAUAAAGGUUGUGGCACAUUAAAACCACAGGAGCUUUUCAUGCUGCUAAAAGAAGGACUUGAGGCCAGCCAGUUGCAUCACUUCAGCUUGUCAUCAGUUGUCAGAUCUCUCAUAGGCUGCAUCAAUGCGGGGUGGGAGACCCUUCCAGAACUGGUCAAUGAGCAUGGGGUAGCCCUCCUGAACCUUGUUAUUCCGCAAACGCCAGAACCAGCGAUCCUGUCAGAAGAAAAUGAUAUAGUUCAAAAGUGAUUUUUAUCCAGUUCAACAGAAAAUAAUAAAAAGCCAAAUGGAUACAUUUGAGAAAUGAACAGACACGGAGCAAGAAAGGAG